rnacentral:rRNA from 1 species
UACGUAGGGGCCGAGCGUUGUCCGGAGUUAUUGGGCGUAAAGCGCGCGCAGGCGGCCUCGCGCGCCCGACGUGAAAGCCCCCGGCUUAACCGGGGAGGGUCGUUGGGGACGGCGGGGCUUGAGGGCGGGAGAGGGUGGUGGAAUUCCCGGUGUAGUGGGUGAAAUGCGUAGAGAUCGGGAGGAACACCCGUGGCGAAGGCGGCCACCUGGGCCGACCCUGACGCCUGAGGCGCGAAAGCUAGGGGAGCGAACGGG